rnacentral:lncRNA from 1 species
GUAGGAUUGAUGUCAUUUUAAUUCAAGCUUUUAAGCUAGGAAAUGCAUCCAGCGGAAAGGAUCACAAUUCAAGUUCAUCUUAAUGGAAGCAUAACACGAAGAACAAAAAGUAGCUUAUCAUGUGCAGCGGGCUGAAGAGCAGAUGGGUUUGAAGGAGAAGUCCCUCCUGCAGAACACAAUGCUCGUGAGGAUAAACCAGCCACCUGCUUGGAUCCCCUCCCUUCUCGUAGAAAGGACUGUGUCUCUUUGACUGGAAUACCUAGACCCAGAGAAUCCUGUGGGAAUGACAUCGUGUGAUCGCAGAGGCUAAGCUGCAAAGAUGCUAUGUACUUCUUCCUUGUUUCUUGGAUCACUUGCUCUCAGAACUCAGCCUCUGUAGUGUGAGAAAUUCAGUGUGGCCCGUGGAAAGACUAGCGUAAGGAGGAGCUGAGUCUCAGCCUGAGCAGCACCAACUCGCCAGCCACAGGAGAGAGCCAUCUUGGAUAGAGUUGUUCUCACUGAUGCUGUAGGAACAGAGAAGCGUGUGUAUGCCAAGUUGCCAAGCCCUGAACGGGCAUAUUCAUAGAGCAAAAUAAAUGAUGGCUGUUAUGCUUAGCAUGCAUGAGGCCCUGUGUUUGAUCCCCAGAAACACACACACACACACACACACACACACACACAGAGUACUAGAGAGUUGAUUAUUGCUGUCCUAAUCUACUAAAUUUUGGAGUGGCUUUUACAGAGCAAUAGAAAACUGACAGGAUGUUUUUGUGUACUUAUCAGUACAAAAACAUUAAAGUAGCUGCCUAAAAUGUGGUGCCCAGAAUUCUUGGGAUGGGAGGAGGCUUAGAGGGAAAGAGCGCAUGACUGAAUGACUGAUUAGUGUCCUCCAUUGGCCCUGUGCAUGGUACUCGGCAGUAGCUUUGGAGCUAUUUGCCAGUCAUGCUUGAAUUCAGCACCCUCAAUUUACAUAAUGUGGAAGAACAGAAUGUAGGCAGUUUGUGGUCGUUUCAAAACUAUACAGAUACUUACAACCACAGCUAAAGCUCUGAAUCAGGUUUUCUGAGACAGAGUUUAGUAUUCCUUCUACUUUGCCCUGUUCAUCCAGGAACAGAUUCCCGAAACCUGAAGUACAGAACACAGAAUGACAAAUAUAUACCUGGAUGCUUCUACUCCCCACUCCCAAGCCUGUGACAAAU